rnacentral:misc_RNA from 1 species
GAUGAAGAACGCAGCGAAAUGCGAUAAGUAGUGUGAAUUGCAGAAUUCAGUGAAUCAUCGAAUCUUUGAACGCACAUUGCGCCCCUUGGUAUUCCAUGGGGCAUGCCUGUUCGAGCGUCAUUUGUACCUUCAAGCUUUGCUUGGUGUUGGGUGUUUGUCCAUUCUCUUGCAGAGGGACUCGCCUUAAAGUAAUUGGCAGCCAGUGUUUUGGUUUUGAAGCGCAGCACAAGUCGCGAUUCAAAGCUAUACGCCCGCUUCCACAAGCCUUUUUCACUUUUGACCUCGGAUCAGGUAGGGAUACCCGCUGAACUUAAGCAUAUCGAUAAGCGGAGGA